rnacentral:rRNA from 1 species
UAAGAGGUCCCGCCUGCCCUGUGACGCUAAGUUUAACGGCCGCGGUACUUUGACCGUGCGAAGGUAGCGCAAUCACUUGUCUCUUAAAUGGAGACCUGUAUGAAUGGCAUAACGAGGGCUUUACUGUCUCCUUUUUCAGGUCAAUGAACUUGAUCUUCUCGUGCAGAAGCGGGAAUACCGACAUAAGACGAGAAGACCCUAUGGAGCUUUAGACACAAGACAGACCACGUUAAGCCUCCUUAACCUGGAGUAAAACUAAAUGCAACAUCUGUCGUAUGUCUUUGGUUGGGGCGACCGCGGAAAAAAAUUAAACCUCCGCGUGGUACGGGAGUGCUUUCCUACUUACUCCUAAAGCCAAGAGCCACAGCUCUAAGCAGCAAAACUUUUGACCAAUACUGAUCCGGCAAAGCCGAUCAACGGACCGAGUUACCCUAGGGAUAACAGCGCAAUCUUCUUCUAGAGUUCAUAUCGACAAGCAGGUUUACGACCUCGAUGUUGGAUCAGGACAUCCUGAUGGUGCAGCCGCUAUCAAGGGUUCGUUUGUUCAACG